UACUUUUUUUUUUCUUUCUCUAUAAAGUUUAUACUAGAGCAGAGUAGGCACUAGCUCAAAUAAAUAAUGAGUUCAAUUCGGCUAUUGCACAUUGAGCACACAUGCCAUUUUGAGCUGGUUUGAUGGAGAAAUCAGAGAAUAUUACCCUGUACAAAUUUGAUACCUGGUCUGUUUUUCAUCACCAAAUCCCCUGGUUGCUGGUGAGUCUUAUUAGUAAACACCUUCUUAACAAGUGCUGGGAUUCAGUCUCUAGGCCAAAAUGGGUAUGAAGGACGAGUUCGAAGCUUCUUUGCAAGUAUACUAUGGGGAUUUGACACUGACAUUUCUUUUGAAGUGAAUGAAAUCAAGAGAUCUGCAUCUUCCACAAGUAGGAGAACAACCAUCUGAUUUUCUGAUCUCAAGCAAAAAAGAUAUUGGUUUCCUCUAAUGGUAAGAAUUGGGUUACUAGUAUUGCAGCAGCUAAGUGGAGUCAAUGACAACCUAUUUUAUGCAAGUAAUAUUUUCAAAGCUGCUGGUAGG